rnacentral:miRNA from 1 species
UGGCCCUAGUGCAGGCUUCCUCAAACUCGGCCCUCCAGAUGUUUUUGGCCUACAACUCCCAUGAUCCCUAGCUAGCAGGACCAGUAGUCAGGGGUGAUGGGAAUUGUAGUCUCAAAACAUCUGGAGGGCAGAGGUUGAGGAAGCCUGCCCUAGUGUAA